GGGGAAUAUUGCGCAAUGGGGGAAACCCUGACGCAGCAACGCCGCGUGAAGGAAGAAGGUCUUCGGAUUGUAAACUUUUGUCUUAUGGGAAGAAUAAAUGACGGUACCAUAGGAGGAAGCCACGGCUAACUACGUGCCAGCAGCCGCGGUAAUACGUAGGUGGCAAGCGUUGUCCGGAAUUACUGGGUGUAAAGGGCGUGUAGGCGGCUUGUUAAGUUGGAUGUGAAAUACCCGGGCUCAACCUGGGGGGUGCAUUCGAUACUGGCAGGCUAGAGUGCAGGAGAGGGAAGCGGAAUUCCUAGUGUAGCGGUGAAAUGCGUAGAUAUUAGGAGGAACACCAGUGGCGAAGGCGGCUUUCUGGACUGUAACUGACGCUGAUGCACGAAAGCGUGGGGAGCAAACA
rnacentral:rRNA from 2 species